rnacentral:lncRNA from 1 species
CUACUAGGGAGUGCGCUCCUACUUUCCGUUCAAGCCAGCGGUAAUCAAAGGUAAUCUUAAGAAUGAGCACCACGCUCACACUUAAUCCUACAACGCUAACUAGUUGCAGCUAGCUAGAGCUCCUAUACAAGAUAGGACGAUGAUGCACACACAGGAGUGGUUACAGGUCACUAACUUCACUAAGACAACUAUAUUACUAAAGUAAAUGCACAACAAGACUAAAAGGCUUGCACUAAGUAAGAACUUAGUAAAGUAAAGUAAGAAUAAUAUAUUAAUAAAAGGAAAGUCUUACAAAAGUAGAAAGGUACA